UCAACGGCUCUUUUGAGGGCCACCAGACUUUUACUGAAAAAGGAUG
rfam:Daphnia magna strain Xinb3 scaffold01581, whole genome shotgun sequence.